AUUAUACUCCCUCCAUCUAGAAAUACUUGUCAUCAAAAUGAAUAAAAGGGAAUGUAUCUAUAUGUAUAUUAGUUCUAGAUACAUCCUUUUUUAUUCAUUUCGAUGACAAGUAUUUUCAGACGGAGGGAGUAUAUG
rnacentral:pre_miRNA from 1 species